rnacentral:rRNA from 1 species
UACGUAGGGCGCAAGCGUUGUCCGGAAUUAUUGGGCGUAAAGAGCUCGUAGGCGGUUUGUUGCGUCUGUCGUGAAAGCCCACAGCUUAACUGUGGGUCUGCGGUGGAUACGGGCAGACUAGAGGCAGGUAGGGGAGAAUGGAAUUCCCGGUGUAGCGGUGAAAUGCGCAGAUAUCGGGAGGAACACCAGUGGCGAAGGCGGCACUCUGGGCCGGUACUGACGCUGAGGAGCGAAAGCGUGGGGAGCGAACAGG